rnacentral:rRNA from 1 species
GAUGAACGCUAGCGGCAGGCUUAAUACAUGCAAGUUGAGGGGCAGCAUGAUAUACGUGAGUAUAUUGAUGGCGACCGGCGGACGGGUGAGUAAUAGGUAGGAGACCUACCUCAUACAGGGGGAUAGCAUAGAGAAAUCUGUGGUAAUACCCCAUGAGGUUAUAUGAAUAGAGGCAUAUAAUCAAAGCAUAAGCGAUUAUGCGGUAUGAGAGGGGCCUACUGACCAUUAGCUAGUUGGUGAGGUAAGGGCUCACCAAGGCGAAGAUGGUUAGGGGUUUUGAGAGAGAGACCCCCCACAUUGGAACUGAGAGACGGUCCAGACUCCUACGGGAGGCAGCAGUAGGGAAUAUUGGGCAAUGGGCGAAAGCCUGACCCAGCCAUGCCGCGUGAAGGAAGACGGCCUUAUGGGUUGUAAACUUCUUUACUACGCGAAUAGAGGUUAGUACGAGAUACUAAUAGGAAGGUAGUGUAGUAAAAGCACCGGCUAACUCCGUG